rnacentral:rRNA from 1 species
GAUCAUGGCUCAGGACGAACGCUGGCGGCAUGCUUAACACAUGCAAGUCGAACGGACUGAUUCCCUUCGGGGAUGAAAGUUAGUGGCGAACGGGUGAGUAAUGUAUGAGCAACCUGCCUCUGUCAACGGGAUAACAGUCGGAAACGACUGCUAAUACGGUAUAUGACCACGGCACCGCAUGGUGCAGCGGUAAAAGAUUUUAUCGGACAGAGAUGGGCUCAUAUCCCAUUAGG